CCUACGGGAGGCUGCAGUGGGGAAUAUUGGACAAUGGGCGAAAGCCUGAUCCAGCCAUGCCGCGUGUGUGAAGAAGGCCUUCGGGUUGUAAAGCACUUUCAGUGGGGAAGAAAGCCUUGGGGCUAAUACCCUCGAGGAAGGACAUCACCCACAGAAGAAGCACCGGCUAACUCCGUGCCAGCAGCCGCGGUAAUACGGAGGGUGCGAGCGUUAAUCGGAAUUACUGGGCGUAAAGCGCGCGUAGGCGGUCUGAUAAGCCGGUUGUGAAAGCCCCGGGCUCAACCUGGGAACGGCAUCCGGACCUGUCAGGCUAGAGUGCAGGAGAGGAAGGUAGAAUUCCCGGUGUAGCGGUGAAAUGCGUAGAGAUCGGGAGGAAUACCAGUGGCGAAGGCGGCCUUCUGGACUGACACUGACGCUGAGGUGCGAAAGCGUGGGUAGCAAACAGGAUUAGAUACCCCGGUAGUC
rnacentral:rRNA from 1 species